rnacentral:tRNA from 1 species
GCAGUUGUGGCCUCUACUGGUUAGGGCUUCGGGCUUAGAACCGAAGGGUUGCUGGUUCGAUCCCAGACCAGUAGGA